rnacentral:rRNA from 1 species
CCUACGGGUGGCUGCAGUGGGGAAUAUUGCACAAUGGGCGCAAGCCUGAUGCAGCCAUGCCGCGUGUGUGAAGAAGGCCUUCGGGUUGUAAAGCACUUUCAGCGGGGAGGAAGGCGUUAAGGUUAAUAACCUUGGCGAUUGACGUUACCCGCAGAAGAAGCACCGGCUAACUCCGUGCCAGCAGCCGCGGCAAUACGGAGGGUGCAAGCGUUAAUCGGAAUUACUGGGCGUAAAGCGCACGCAGGCGGUCUGUCAAGUCGGAUGUGAAAUCCCCGGGCUCAACCUGGGAACUGCAUUCGAAACUGGCAGGCUAGAGUCUUGUAGAGGGGAGUAGAAUUCCAGGUGUAGCGGUGAAAUGCGUAGAGAUCUGGAGGAAUACCGGUGGCGAAGGCGGCCCCCUGGACAAAGACUGACGCUCAGGUGCGAAAGCGUGGGGAGCAAACAGGAUUAGAUACCCGAGUAGUC